CUGACACAGGGAGGUAGUGACAAUACAUAACAAUGUUGGGCCUAUCUAGGUCUGACAAUUGGAAUGAGAACAAUUUAAAAAUAUUAUCAAGGACCAAUUGGAGGGCAAGUCUGGUGCCAGCAGCCGCGGUAAUUCCAGCUCCAAUAGUGUAUAUUAAAGUUGCUGUAGUUAAAAAGCUCGUAGUUGAAUUUCUGAUGAGAGUAGUCUGAUUGAUACAUUGUAUCGAUACUUGUACCAUCUCUGAUCAUCGUUGAAGGGAAUAUAUUUGAUAUUAAGUUAUCAGAAAUGAGGUCUUCAUACUUUACUGUGAAAAAUUAGAGUGUUCAAAGCAGGCUUUUGUUGUUGAAUAUAUUAGCAUGGAAUAAUUAUAUAUGACCAUGGCACUAUUUUGUUGGUUUGUUUGCCAUUGUAAUGAUUGAUAGGGACA
rnacentral:rRNA from 1 species